UUAGAAUGUUAAAGCCAUGAUUAUAUGGAAAAUGCGAUCACACGCAUUCACAUCUCCGGGGUACUCCCUAUGCAGCUUCCAGUUACUCUUCAGGAAAAGGUUGACCGCUCUCUGCAUGUAAUGUGAAGCCAGAAGUGGUGUAAAGCAGGGGGAGAAUUUUACAUUGCACAGAACAGAUAGAGCUCAGAGUGGCAUUCCAAAGCCUCUCUGCUCAAUGUAUCCUGUGACUGUGGACGCCAUCCCACUCCAGGACAUUGCGCAGAAUUAUAAAUCAUCAACGGCAGGCUGAAGAAACAAACCAAGGACAAAUGGAUUUGUUCAGAGUGGGAUGUAUUCUGUCCAUGGAGAUUAAGGGACCUUGACAGAACUAGACAUAUUUGAAAA